AGUGAACGCUGGCGGCAGGCCUAAUACAUGCAAGUCGAACGGCAGCACAGCAGAGCUUGCUCUGUGGGUGGCGAGUGGCGGACGGGUGAGGAAUACAUGGGAAUCUGCCCAGUCGUGGGGAUAACGUAGGGAAACUUACGCUAAUACCGCAUGCGCCCUUCGGGGGAAAGCCGGGGACCUUCGGGCCUGGCGCGAUUGGAUGAGCCCAUGUCGGAUUAGCUAGUUGGCGGGGUAAUGGCCCACCAAGGCGACGAUCCGUAGCUGGUCUGUGAGGAUGAUCAGCCACACUGGAACUGAGACACGGUCCAGACUCCUACGGGAGCAGCAGUAGGGAAUAUUGGACAAUGGGCGCAAGCCUGAUCCAGCCAUGCCGCGUGAGUGAAGAAGGCCCUCGGGUUGUAAAGCUCUUUUGUCCGGAAAGAAAAGCGCCGGGUUAAUACCCUAGUGUCCUGACGGUACCGGAAGAAUAAGCACCGGCUAACUUCGUGCCAGCAGCCGCGGUAA
rnacentral:rRNA from 1 species